rnacentral:lncRNA from 1 species
GUCAUGCAGGUGGUUCUGGUCUGUCCUGUAGGCGGUUUCGGCAUGUCUGGUACAUGGUUCUGUCACGUCUUAGAGGUGGUUACACGAUGCCCGACAGGUGAUUCCGGAGUGUCCGCCAAGUGGUUCUCGCAUAUAAGGCAGGUGAUUUUGGCAUGUCUGGCACGUCGUUCUGGUACGUCGAGCAGGUGGUUCCGGCGUGCUCGGCAGGUGGUUCAGGCAUGUCCGGCAGGUGGUUCUGGUCUGUCCGGGAGGUGGUUCCAGCAAGUCGAGCAGGAGGUUCCGGCGUGCUCAUGAGUUGGUUCAGGCAUGUUGGGCAGAUGAUUUUGCAGUGACCGCCAGUGGUUCAGGCAUAGCUGGGAGGUGAUUUUGGCGUGUCCGUAAGGUGGUUCCGGCGAGUAGAGCAGGUGGUUCCAGGGUGCUUGGCAGUUGGUUCCGGCGUGUCCGGCACGUGGUUCUGGCACGUCUGAGUGGUGGUUCAGGCAUGACCAGCAUGUGAUUCCGGACUGUCUGCCAAAUCGUUUGGGCGUACCCAGAAGGUGAUAUUGGCGAGUCCGGCAGGUGGCUCCAGCGAUUCGAACAGGUGGUUCCGGCAUGCUCGGCAGGUGGUUCUGGAGUGCUUGGCAAUUGGUUCCGGUCUGUCCGGGAGGUGGUUCCGUCAUGUUUGUUACGUGGUUCUGGCACGUCUGAGACGUGGUUCCUGCAUGCCCGGCAGGUGAUUCCGGAGUUUCCAGCAAGUGGUUCUGGUGUAGCCGGUAGGUGAUUUUGGCAUGUCCGGCAGGUGGUUCCAGCGAGUGGAGAGGUGGUUAAGGCACGCUCAGCAGGUGGUUCAGGCAUGUCUGGCAGGUGGUUCCGCUCUGUCUGAGAGGUGGUUCCCGCACUCCCGGCUGUUGAUUCCAGAGAGUCCGCCAUGUGUUUGUGGCAUAACUGGGAGAGGAUUUUGGUGUGUCCGGCACGUGGUCCUGGCUCAUUUGAGAGGUGGUUCCGUCAUGCCCGGGAAGUGAUUCCGGAGUGACCGCCAAGUGUUUCUGGCGUAGCCGGCACAUGAUUUUGGCGCAGACGGUUCAGGCGAGUCGAGCAGGAGUUCUGGCGUGCUCGGCAGGUGGUUCAGGAAUGUUUGGCAGUUUGUUCCGCUCUGUCUGGGAGGUGGUUCCGGCAUGUCCGGCACGUGGUUCUGGCAUGUCUGAAUGUGG